ACCAGCAGCCAUAUCACUCUGCAACUCCCAGCUGGCAGCCCCACUGAACCCACUCAGCAGGUGUGAGCCUGGUCAGUACCUGGAUGGGAGACCUCCUGGGAAAAACUAAGGUUGCUGCUGGAA
rnacentral:rRNA from 1 species